rnacentral:rRNA from 1 species
UACAGAGGUCCCGAGCGUUGUUCGGAUUCAUUGGGCGUAAAGGGUGUGUAGGAGGUUGGGUAAGUCGGAUGUGAAAUCUCACCGCUUAACGGUGAAACUGCAUUCGAUACUGCUUGGCUGGAGGAUCGGAGGGGGUAUCGGAAUUCAUGGUGUAGCAGUGAAAUGCGUAGAUAUCAUGAGGAACACCGGUGGCGAAAGCGGAUACCUGGAAGAUUCCUGACUCUGAAACACGAAAGCUAGGGGAGCAAACGGG